rnacentral:rRNA from 1 species
AGAAUCAACGCUGGCGGCGUGCCUAACACAUGCAAGUCGAACGAGAAAGUGGAGCAAUCCAUGAGUAAAGUGGCGACCGGGUGAGUAACACGUGACUAACCUACCUUCAAGUGGGGGAUAACCUCGGGAAACCGGGGCUAAUACCGCAUAACAUCUUUGGGGUGGAAAUUUUGGAGAUCAAAGGAGCAAUUCGCUGGAAGAGGGGGUCGCGGCUGAUUAGCUAGUUGGCGGGGUAAUGGCCCACCAAGGCUUUGAUCGGUA